rnacentral:rRNA from 1 species
ACGAACGCUGGCGGCAUGCCUAACACAUGCAAGUCGAACGAGACCUUCGGGUCUAGUGGCGCACGGGUGCGUAACGCGUGGGAACCUGCCCUUAGGUUCGGAAUAACUCCCCGAAAGGGGUGCUACUACCGGAUAAUGUCUUCGGACCAAAGAUUUAUCGCCUUUGGAUGGGCCCGCGUUGGAUUAGCUAGUUGGUAGGGUAAAAGCCUACCAAGGCGACGAUCCAUAGCUGGUCUGAGAGGAUGAUCAGCCACACUGGGACUGAGACACGGCCCAGACUCCUACGGGAGGCAGCAGUGGGGAAUAUUGGACAAUGGGCGAAAGCCUGAUCCAGCAAUGCCGCGUGAGUGAUGAAGGCCUUAGGGUUGUAAAGCUCGUUUACCCGGGAUGAUAAUGACAGUACCGGGAGAAUAAGCUCCGGCUAACUCCGUG